rnacentral:ncRNA from 2 species
UAAAUAAAGUUGGGGUGCCCUGAGCUGAGAAUAUACCCAUUGAACCUGAUGCCGCUAGCACGGUCGCAGGAAACUUCGAAAAGCGGAUU